UACAGAGGUCCCAAGCGUUGUUUGGAUUCAUUGGGCGUAAAGGGUGUGUAGGUGGCGCCGUAAGUCGGGUGUGAAAUUUCGGAGCUUAACUCCGAAACUGCAUUCGAUACUGCGGUGCUUGAGGACUGGAGAGGAGACUGGAAUUCAUGGUGUAGCAGUGAAAUGCGUAGAGAUCAUGAGGAAGACCAGUGGCGAAGGCGGGUCUCUGGACAGUUCCUGACACUGAGACACGAAGGCCAGGGGAGCAAACGGG
rnacentral:rRNA from 1 species